rnacentral:tRNA from 1 species
UAGCCUAGUGGUUAAGACUAUGGAUUGCCAAUCCGGAGACCACGGGUUCGAUUCCUGU